rnacentral:rRNA from 1 species
UACGUAGGGGGCUAGCGUUGUCCGGAUUUAUUGGGCGUAAAGAGCGUGUAGGCGGCCAGGUAGGUCUGCUGUGAAAACUCGAGGCUCAACCUCGAGACGUCGGCGGAAACCAUCUGGCUAGAGUCCGGAAGAGGCGAGUGGAAUUCCCGGUGUAGCGGUGAAAUGCGCAGAUAUCAGGAAGAACACCCGUGGCGAAGGCGGCUCUCUGGGACGGUACUGACGCUGAGGAGCGAAAGCCAGGGGAGCAAACGGG